AGCAGCCGCGGUAAUUCCAGCUCCAAUAGCGUAUAUUAAAGUUGUUGCAGUUAAAAAGCUCGUAGUUGAACUUCAGGCCUGUCCAGACGGUCCGCCUUAAUUGGUGUGUACUGUCCUUGGGUGGGUCCUACCUUCUGGCGAAGCGGCAUGGCCUUAAUUGGUUGUGUCGGGGAACCAGGACUUUUACUGUGAAAAAAUUAGAGUGUUCAAAGCAGGCAAAUAUGCUCGAAUACAUUAGCAUGGAAUAAUGGAAUAGGACGAUGGUUCUAUUUUGUUGGUUCUAGGACCGUUGUAAUGAUUAAUAGGGAUAGUUGGGGGCAUUAGUAUUCAAUUGUCAGAGGUGAAAUUCUUGGAUUUAUUGAAGACUAACUACUGCGAAAGCAUUUGCCAAGGAUGUUUUCAUUAAUCAAGAACGAAAGUUAGGGGAUCGAAGACGAUCAGAUACCGUCGUAGUCUUAACCAUAAACUAUGCCGACUAGGAAUCGGGCGAUGUUGACAAAAUGACUCGCUCGGCA
rnacentral:rRNA from 1 species